rnacentral:rRNA from 1 species
CCCUUAGAUGUUCUGGGCCGCACGCGUGCUACACUGACCGGCGCAACAAGCUUUUUUCCUUGGCUCGACAGGCCUGGGUAAUCUUCGAACGCCGGUCGUGAUGGGGAUAGAUCCUUGCAAUUUUUGGUCUUCAACGAGGAAUUCCUAGUAAACGCAAGUCAUCAACUUGCAUUGAUUACGUCCCUGCCCUUUGUACACACCGCCCGUCGCACCUACCGAUUGAAUGGUCCGGUGAAGCCUCCGGAUUGGCGCGCACCUCGGUGCCGCCGAGAAGUUGGCUAAACCUUACCAUUUAGAGGAAGGUGAAGUCGUAACA